rnacentral:miRNA from 1 species
UAUACUGGACUUGGAGUCAGAAGACGGGUUUGAAUACAGGUUGUGCUUCUUAUUAGCUGGGUAUCUUAAAGCAAACCUGUAGUGUGUUGAUUGGA